GUCAUGUGGCACACAGGGAGGCAAAUUGGUUGAUGGGAGACGGAUUCUUUAGGAACCACAAGUAGCCAUAUGGAAUUGUUGAUCCAGAGUGUGUGAACAGCUACAAAGAAAAGACAAAGAUGGUUCUUUAACAGUAGUUAAAGCUUCCUCAGCAUAGCUUGUUUGGAAACUGGUGUCAAAGUGCAGGGUCGGCCACAAUGCAGCCCCACUGGAGCACGGAGGGUUAAGGGCCUUGCUCAAGAGCCCAAAAGUGGCAGCUUGGUGAUACUGGGGCUGCCUUCGAGUAGAAGCCUACAUUGGAAGUUUAGCCUUUAGAUUGUUUGCAAUUUUUACCCUUCUCAUUAUUUGCCUCCUUGCCAGUUCUAUUUGUUGAUUGUUGCACAAAUACAAAACCCAGAUUUCAUAGUUUACAUCUCUGUGUUUCCUGAGUUUUGUUUGUUCUAAUGCAUACAAUUAUGGAUGUUGUAUCGUCAUGAUCCCUGCCGUGCUAAGUCAUUUUGCCAAUUAUGACAAUGAUUAUGGUAUUUCAAGAAAUAUAAUCAAAGCUGACUUUCA